rnacentral:rRNA from 1 species
GAUGAACGCUGGCGGCGUGCCUAAUACAUGCAAGUCGAGCGAACAGACGAGGAGCUUGCUCCUCUGACGUUAGCGGCGGACGGGUGAGUAACACGUGGAUAACCUACCUAUAAGACUGGGAUAACUUCGGGAAACCGGAGCUAAUACCGGAUAAUAUAUUGAACCGCAUGGUUCAAUAGUGAAAGACGGUUUUGCUGUCACUUAUAGAUGGAUCCGCGCCGCAUUAGCUAGUUGGUAAGGUAACGGCUUACCAAGGCAACGAUGCGUAGCCGACCUGAGAGGGUGAUCGGCCACACUGGAACUGAGACAGGGUCCAGACUCCUACGGGAGGCAGCAGUAGGGAAUGUUCCGCAAUGGGCGAAAGCCUGACGGAGCAACGCCGCGUGAGUGAUGAAGGUCUUCGGAGCGUAAAACUCUGUUAUUAGGUAAGAACAGAUGUGUAAGUAACUAUGCACGUCUUGACGGUACCUAAUCAGAAAGCCACGGCUAACUACGUG